CUCUUUUCAACAUCAUUUUGCUUACUGGGACUAUUUUAGCUUUGAUGGGGCAGCCAUUUGUUUUCUAGAGCAGCAGAACGGCCAGGACCGGCACUGGCAGGAAGUGUAUUGCAUGUCAUGGGUUUGCUAAAUACAAUGUAACUAACUUAUGCAUGAUAUUGUGUCGGCUAAACUGUAUCCGCAGGCGUUACAAUUAUCAUCACAUAUAAUGAAUUUGAUUUCUAGCUUAAAAUUAACAUACCGUGCAUGCAAUACAUCAAUCAAAAAACAAUUACACAUUCAUAGAACCUAACAGGAUAAUGUGCAGAUAUUAGGAGUAUACUUUCGGAAUGCACUUUUCUGCAAACAAAUUCAAACCUACUCCGUUAGCUCCAGCAGAAGACUGUUGAGGUUUCGUUGUAGAUUUCGCGCGCAUCAAAACAAGUAUUUGCGGAAGCUUCAGCACCAUGCGCACAAACAGCGUGCUAAAGUUUGCGACAUAUAGUAGCUGGACUGAUUCCAUUAUUUCAUAAUUAGACGGAGAUCUAUCGACCUAUGGCUUCUGGGUGACUUGGUAGAUCACUCGCGAGUCGCGACUACAUAGCGGAUUUUACCUAGGGCUGCAAGUAACAUCUCCACAAAGGUGCAUUCCUAAUAAGAUUGGUGUUAAGUGAGAAAGAAUCCUAAAGAUGGUCAAAUGGGCAUGAAGCCUCUCUCUUCAUCUCAGUCUGUUGAACCACCAGAUUUCCUGUAGGGCAGAGAUGCAGGCCCUGCUGAACAAUGUAAAGCAGUCGAUGAAACACCUGCAGGGUCAGCUGAAUGACAUACAUGGAAAGUUUAUUGAGUUGCAGACUGCUAUCUCUCAGAUAGUGUCAGAUGAGUCUAAGAUACUGUAGAAUAACUCUAUGUUAUGGUGAGGAUGAUGAUUGAAAUGUUUGGGAUGGAUUGGUGUGAAUUACAUUAGAUUGCAAGUGGUAGAUUUUUCUUGAAUGACUGUAUGUGCUCUAUACUUCAUCCCAGAAGCCAACAUUGCUGCACAGACGGAGGUAAUCUCAACAUCCAAUCACAACAUCCCAACAAGCAGCAUUUCUGAACAGAGGGAAGAGAUCCUACCGAAAGCCGGUGUCCCUGUGAAGAAUAGAGACAAUCCUCCACAACCACCUCCCAUCAUCCCCAUGGUGGGACGAAAGUGGGAAUGGGAUGCUGGAGUGUGUACUAUUCCAAGAGAAGAGAUGUCCUGA
rnacentral:lncRNA from 8 species